rnacentral:rRNA from 1 species
CCUACGGGUGGCAGCAGUGGGGAAUAUUGCACAAUGGGGGGAACCCUGAUGCCGCGACGCCGCGUGGGUGAAGGAGUAUUUCGGUAUGUAAAGCCCUAUCAGCAGAGAAGUACAAUGACGGAACCUGACUAAGAAGCACCGGCUAAAUACGUGCAAGCAGCCGCAGUCAUACGUAUGGUGCAAGCGUUAUCCGGAUUUACUGGGUGUAAAGGGGGCGCAGGCGGCGCGUUAAGCCUGGUGGGAAAGUCCGCGGCUCAACCGCGAGACUGCAUUGGGGACUGGCCCGCUGGAGUGCCGGAGGGGUAGGCGGAAUUCCUAGUGUAGCGGUGAAAUGCGUAGAUAUUACGAGGAACAACAGUGGCGAAGGCGGCCUACUAGACGGUGACUGACGCUGAGGCUCGAAAGCGUGGGGAGCAAACAGGAUUAGAUACCCGUGUAGUC